UGAUCUGCUUUAUCUUUACAUAGAAAGUUAACUGUAGCCUGGGCCUUACAUUAGGUGAUAACUUUGGAUAUCACUUUAUAGAAAAACAACAUACGUUCUUUUGAGAAAUGACUUUACCUAGUACGAAAUGUGUUUUUGUAUUUCUGUUGUACUGCAGUUGUUGCAAAAGAGUUAUGACUCAGUCUGUCACGUGGUUUGGACCAAACGAUACCUACAAAUGUCACUGUGAUAAUGGCUGUAAAAACGACGGAAGCUGCAGUCAGAAUGGAGUCUGCCAGAAAGGCUGGUUCGGGUUAAAUUGCCAGUAUCAGGACCUGGCAACAAUAGACAAUGUCAGGCCAAUUCAAGAUUUAGACAAACUUACAGACAGAAAUGAUUCAACUUGCUUAGAUCAACAAAAUCAACUGCUAAUUAUACAAUGGAAUCGAACCUUUGUCUUUACCUAGCUACGUAUAGUUGUUAAUGACGCAACACUGCUGUCGUACAUUGAUGUUGAGUUUACAAGUCCGUCACAACCAUCACAAAAUUUGACAUGUGACAAUAAAAGACUGUAUCUUGUGAACAAGCAAACUCUGGAUAUCAAAUGUGAUGUGACAAAAGAAAUUCAAAGCGUCCUUAUAUCGGGAGCUGGCGUACAGUCAAUAUGUUCUUUAUAUAUUAAUGGAGGUAAACCUACUGCAAAUAUAAGUUUAGUUUGAUUAUUAAAUUCUUGGUGGCGCGAUAGCCGUGUGGCAAAGCGCUUAGUUUCCGAACCCGGAGUCGUGGGUUCGAAUGUCAGUGAAAACUGGUAUUUUAAAUUUCUGGAUUUUUUUUAGUUCGCUCCUGAGUCCACCCAGCUCUAAUGGGUACCUGACAUUAGUUAGGGAAAAGUAAAGGCGGUUGGUCGUUGUGCUGGCCACAUGACAUCCUUGUUAACCAUAGGCCACAGAAAUAAAAAAUCCCAGUCUUCACCAGGAUUCGAACCCCGGUCUCCGGUUCGGAAGCCAAGCGCUUUACCGCUCAGCCAAAGCACCUAUGUUCCCCAUUAAAUAUUUUGUUCAGCUAUAACAAUACAUAGGUGCGCGGUGGCUGAGUGGAAGGACUUGGCUUCCAAACCUGAUUUGGAAUCACAGUGAAGACUGGGAAUUUCGGAAUUUUUAGUUGAUAUAAUUAGUUGUAGCUCGUUCUAUUUGAUUAAGAAGCCAAGAAAAAGCCCAUACAUAGGAGUUGCGACAGAUCACUUAAAUAGAUCUCCAUCGGACAACGGCUUUGUAUGCUUUAGAUGUGGCAAAAUAUUCAGGUUGAAGGGGUUGUGUUUGGGAUCAGCGGGAUAGCAUGCUCUUGUAUGGUGUAAAAUUGUGGUCUGCAUACUUCUUAAGGGUCACCGGCCCCUGAUUUUUCUUCAGAGAUGCCGCUGGUCACUAACUGUAUCGGCGAUAACCGUUUCUUAGGCUAUAUCAGCUGCGGGGAGAAGGGGGAAACUGCUGUGUGGGGCGACAUAUUCCGCCUAAUCAAUCAUCUCAUUUUAUGAGGUGAUCGAUAGUUGCUACACGACUGAAGGCGGCCAUAUAGGGUUUGUGUGGUCAUGUGAAGCACUGCACUUAUCCUUAAUCUUCAAGAUCGAAGACCUUGCCAUUUUUACUAUAUAAUUGGGUAUUUUUAUACAAGCAGAAAAACAUACUUCUAUUAUAUUAUCUUGAUGUUAAUUCAGUUGUGAUUU